rnacentral:rRNA from 1 species
AAACUUAAAGGAAUUGACGGGGGCCCGCACAAGCGGUGGAGCAUGUGGUUCAAUUCGACGCAACGCGAAGAACCUUACCAGCCCUUGACAUGUCCAGGACCGGUCGCAGAGACGCGACCUUCUCUUCGGAGCUUGGAACACAGGUGCUGCAUGGCUGUCGUCAGCUCGUGUCGUGAGAUGUUGGGUUAAGUCCCGCAACGAGCGCAACCCUCGUCCUUAGUUGCCAUCAUUAAGUUGGGCACUCUAAGGAGACUGCCGGUGAUAAGCCGCGAGGAAGGUGGGGAUGACGUCAAGUCCUCAUGGCCCUUACGGGCUGGGCUACACACGUGCUACAAUGGCGGUGACAAUGGGCAGCGAACCAGCAAUGGGGAGCUAAUCUCAAAAAGCCGUCUCAGUUCGGAUUGCACUCUGCAACUCGAGUGCAUGAAGUUGGAAUCGCUAGUAAUCGUGGAUCAGCAUGCCACGGUGAAUACGUUCCCGGGCCUUGUACACACCGCCCGUCACACCAUGGGAGUUGGUUUUACCUUAAGACGGUGCGCUAACCGCAAGGAAGCAGCCGGCCACGGUAAGGUCAGCGACUGGGGUGAAGUCGUAACAAGGUAGCCGUAGGGGAACCUGCGGCUGGAUCACCUCCUUUCUG